UUGGACCUAGCACUGAA
rnacentral:misc_RNA from 1 species